UACGGAAGGGGCGAGCGUUGUUCGGAAUCAUUGGGCGCAAAGGGCGCGUAGGUGGUUCUGUAUGUCUACCGUGAAAGCAUACGGCUCAACUGUAUUUUGUCGGUAGAAACUGCAGGACUUGAGGCUGGGAGGGGCUGGUGGAAUUCCCUGUGUAGCGGUGAAAUGCGUAGAGAUGGGGGAGAACACUCGUGGCGAAGGCGGCCAGCUAGACCAGUUCUGACACUGAGGCGCGACAGCGUGGGGAGCAAACAGG
rnacentral:rRNA from 1 species